GUCUAGUCCCGAUGGAAACGGCAUCCUUUUUCCUGCUUCUUUAGAAGGAAAAAAGAUCGAGUGCGGGCUAUCAG
rnacentral:sRNA from 1 species